GACGAACCGUCCUAACGUUGUUCGGAAUCACUGGGCUUAAAGGGCGCGUAGGCGGCUUGCCAAGUCAGGGGUGAAAUCCUGCAGCUUAACUGUAGAAGGGCCUUUGAUACUGGCGAGCUCGAGGGAGGUAGGGGUAUGUGGAACUUCCGGUGGAGCGGUGAAAUGCGUUGAUAUCGGAAGGAACGCCGGUGGCGAAAGCGACGUACUGGACCUCUUCUGACGCUGAGGCGCGAAAAGCUAGGGGAGCAAACGGG
rnacentral:rRNA from 1 species